rnacentral:lncRNA from 1 species
CAUUUUGGUAGAUUUAUAUAAUUUGAUUUCAGUGUAGUUGUGUGAAGUUCUCUAAUAUUAAAAAGUUAAUCAAAUAAUACAUCAUGACCAUUGCACCUGGUCGAUAAUUAACCUAACUAUCGGCUCGUAGUGGUGCAAUUGUCAGUGCCCCGGAGUUCUAUACAAGACAGUCAUAAGUUUGACAAACGGGCCUUGAGUAUAACUUGGUUACUUAAAGAGGACAAUGUUAACAUUUAUGUUAAAUGUAGACAGUUUAUAAGCUUUUACUUUAACACUAAAGUAAACUGACUUUUUACCAGUCACUGUUGCUACAAAGGUUGUAAUGCUUCAUUUAAUGCUUCUUGUAUAGGUUUUUAUGCAUGGCUUACCCCCCCCCCCUCCUUUAGUUUUCUAGUUUCAGCUUCAAGGUCGUCUACAACCCUAGCCUAGAGGCUUAACAAAUGGUUUUAGAGUAUCUUGGUAGUAACUUAAGAUAAUUACUAAUUUAACUUUGAAAAGAAUAUCCUGCUUAAUGUUUUUCAAGUAACUGUUACAAGGAUGGUAAAAUUCAAUAUAAUUUUUACCUUGGCUUGCCUUAUUAACCAUGUUCUUGCAGCAGGAUUAAGUCUAAAUUCACUCUUUAGUCUUAAAUUGGUAUUACUUUUCAGAUUCCAAAAUGCUUCUGCUUAAAAUACUUCUGUGGGGUUUCCGGGGACCACUACGUGAGCCCCAGAUGGCUCCCUGGUGUCUUAAGGAAAACUAGUUGUAUGCACCAGUUUUCGUCUCUCCUUUCCCUUCGCAAAAUCCUCCUUCAGGGAAAGCCUCUUCAAUUCUUCAAAGACACUAACCACUUUCAAACUAGUUUCUUUCCAGUUCCAUGUUACGUCUAACGGUUCACUCUUCAAGCGGCACCCUUGUCCUUUCAAUCCCUUCCUGCAUUAAAGCUCUCCCAGCUUCCAUUCGCUCCUCAGCUCUAACAUAAGUUUCCCAGCCUUCAAGGUCACGACAAACUCAACACUCCUUCCUGUGGAAUACGUGGUAAUGUAACACAUCUUCUUGAGAUUAUCUUGAUUUCGAGGCUUAGCGUCCCCACGGCCCGGUCCUUGGCCAGGCCUCCUUUUUUGUUACAAAACCCCCAAGAAGCAGCCUGUAGCAGCUGUCUAACGCCCAGGUACCUAUUUACUGCUAAGUGAACAGAAGCAUCAGGAUGAAAGAAACUCUGCCCAUUUGUUUCCGCCUCCACCGGGGAUCGAACCCGGAACCUCAGGACUACGAAUCCAAAGCACUGUCCAUUCAACUGUUAGGCCCCUUAGUAACAACAUGGUAAAAUGUUGUUACUAUGAAAAGUAAAGUAAAACUAUUACUAUGGUAAAAUUGUAAAUGUUCUAGUUUGAUUUAAUUACUCUAAAUCCCUUAGAUCAAACCAGUAAUGCGCUUGAAGUACCAAAGAUGUAGGUUGGAAUAAACAUGGCUCUUAUUGUCCCCUUUUAGUAAAUUAAUCUAAAUUUAAUUUUCAACUGUUUCACACACAUGAAAUGGGGGCUGGUAAGAAUUGCCAUUUCUCAUGGUACGUGAAUGCUAACACCUAUAGCAGCUGGGAUAAAGCCAACUCUUACUGCUGGUCUUGGCAGAGGCUUCCAGCUAGUUAGUAUCCAAGACAAGGAUAAGGACGACUUCAUAAAGAGUGUUAUCGCCAGAAGUGAGUUUACUUUAUUAAUGUUUAACAUGGUUAUGAAUUAUUGAAAUGCAUGUGCAUUAAACAUUAAAUAUGGUAAUCCUGCUGGACUAAGAUUUACUAAACGGCAAAGAAUUUUUCUAAAACUACCUAAUAUUUUUAGGUGGGAUCCAGCUCAUCUGGAUAAGCGGCAACGAGCGAGGCACAAUGACCUGGAGGUAGUCAUCCGAGUACACUUUGUCCUACGCCAACUGAUCCCACACUGGAGGGCUUGGGCAACCACAGCCAGACAACAGGGAAGGCACCAAGGACUCGGGUUCUGAAGAACAUCUAUAACAACAGCACAAAGUGGCACAACAUUACCUGUCAUCUGUGAGACUAGCCUUUGAUACAUAUAUUUUGCCAGAAAAGGCCUUGUUUCCUGAAUGGUGGAGUUGUAAAAUAAAAUUUAACCUAG